rnacentral:lncRNA from 1 species
GAGAGUGUAAAAGAACUGAAAAUAGAGAGGGAAAUGAUGAGGAUUAAUGAAACGAGAAAUCAUGGUAGUUUGAUAAUUUGCUAACUCCUUAUGAGGGCUGGCUCUGCUCCUUGUCGUUCUUUGGCAUCGUCAGUUGAAAGAGUAGAAAAAUGGAGGAAAGAGGUUUUAGAAAGAGCAGAGAAUAACGGAGGAGAGGUUUAAGUCACUUUAAGACAUUUUAAGUCUAUUGUUUUUGGGUCUGAUAGAUUUACACUCACGUACGGACAAGGGUUACUUACUUAGUUGUAAGGCACUUCUGUUAUUCUCUUCACAAAUUCAGACCCAUAAAAUGAAUCUCUAGUUUUAUUUAAGGAAAAGGAGGGAUCACAUCAGUAAUAACUACUAACCAGCUACUGAGUUGACUCAGACCUCGACUCCAUUGAUAUCGAACAGAC